ACGCCCUAAACGAUGUCAACUAGCUGUUGGGCCCUUCGGGGCUUAGUAGCGUAGCUAACGCGUGAAGUUGACCGCCUGGGGAGUACGGUCGCAAGAUUAAAACUCAAAGGAAUUGACGGGGACCCGCACAAGCGGUGGAUGAUGUGGAUUAAUUCGAUGCAACGCGAAAAACCUUACCUACCCUUGACAUGUCUGGAAUCCUUUAGAGAUAGAGGAGUGCUCGCAAGAGAACCGGAACACAGGUGCUGCAUGGCUGUCGUCAGCUCGUGUCGUGAGAUGUUGGGUUAAGUCCCGCAACGAGCGCAACCCUUGUCAUUAGUUGCUACGAAAGGGCACUCUAAUGAGACUGCCGGUGACAAACCGGAGGAAGGUGGGGAUGACGUCAAGUCCUCAUGGCCCUUAUGGGUAGGGCUUCACACGUCAUACAAUGGUCGGGACAGAGGGUUGCCAACCCGCGAGGGGGAGCCAAUCUCAGAAACCCGAUCGUAGUCCGGAUUGCAGGCUGCAACUCGCCUGCAUGAAGUCGGAAUCGCUAGUAAUCGCGGAUCAGC
rnacentral:rRNA from 1 species